rnacentral:rRNA from 1 species
GUAGGUGGCAGGCGUUGUCCGGAAUUAUUGGGCGUAAAGCGCGCGCAGGCGGUCCUUUAAGUCUGAUGUGAAAGCCCACGGCUCAACCGUGGAGGGUCAUUGGAAACUGGGGGACUUGAGUACAGAAGAGGAAAGCGGAAUUCCAAGUGUAGCGGUGAAAUGCGUAGAGAUUUGGAGGAACACCAGUGGCGAAGGCGGCUUUCUGGUCUGUAACUGACGCUGAGGCGCGAAAGCGUGGGGAGCAAACAGGAUUAGAUACCCUGGUAGUCCACGCCGUAAACGAUGAGUGCUAAGUGUUAGGGGGUUUCCCGCCCCCUUAGUGCUGCAGCUAACGCAUUAAGCACUCCGCCUGGGGAGUACGGCCGCAAGGCUG